GAGUAGAGUGGCGAAAGGGCGAGGAAUACGUUUCUAACGUGCCCCUGGGUGAGGGAUAGACAUCGGGAAACCGGUGGUAAUACCUCAUGAUCCCCGGUUGUCGCAUGGCAGCCGGGGCAAAGGUUUACCGCCCGUGGGAUCGGGAAACGUCCUAUCAGGUAGUUGGUGAGGUAACGGCUCACCAAGCCUUAGACGGGUAGCGGGCGUGAGAGCGUGACCCGCCGCAUCGGGACUGAGACACUGCCCGGACUCCUACGGGAGGCUGCAGUAACGAAUAUUCCGCAAUGCGCGAAAGCGUGACGGAGCAAUGCCGCGUGAAGGAUGAAGCCCCUCGGGGUGUAAACUUCUGUCAGGGAAUAGGAACAAAAUGACCGUUCCCAAAGGAAGGGCCGGCUAACUUCGUGCCAGCAGCCGCGGUAAUACGAAGGGCCCCGAGCGUUGCGCGGAAUCACUGGGCUUAAAGGGUGCGUAGGCGGGAACUGUAAGUACUUUGUGAAAUCCCUCGGGUCAACCGGGGAAUUGCUUUGGUAUACUGCCGGUUCUUGAGGCCAGUAGGGGCAGCCGGAACUCUAGGUGGAGCGGUGAAAUGCCUAGAUAUCUAGAGGAACGCCAAAGGCGGAGACAGUGCUGCCUGUGCUGGACCUGACGCUGAGGCACGAAAGCGUGGGGAGCAAACAGGAAUUAGAUACCCCUGGUAGUCCACCGCCGUAAACCUUGUGCACUAGGUCCCCGGAGGUUUUGACGCCAUCGGGGCUGGAGCAAAAGUAUUAAGUGCACCGCCUGGGGAGUACGGUCGCAAGGCUAAAACUCAAAGGAAUGAACGGGGGCUCACACAAGCGGUGGAGCAUGUGACUUAAUUCGAAGCAACGCGAAGAACCUUAUCCUGGGUUUGACAUGUAUGGAUUAACCUCGUGAAAGCGAGACCACGCCCUUUGGGUGGAACAUACACAGGUGCUGCAUGGCUGUCGUCAGCUCGUGCCGUGAGGUGUUAGGUUAAGUCCUUCAACGAGCGAAACCCUUGCCGUUAGUUGCCAGCGCGCCUUCGGGUGGCGGGGACUCUAACGGGACUGCCGGUGUCAAACCGGAGGAAGGUGGGGAUGACGUCAAGUCCUCAUGGCCUUUAUGCCCAGGACUGCACACGUGCUACAAUGGCGCGCACAGA
rnacentral:rRNA from 1 species